AGAGUUUGAUUCUGGCUCAGGACGAACGCUGGCGGCGUGCCUAACACAUGCAAGUCGAGCGGGGACAGGGACUUCGGUUCUUGUUCUAGCGGCGGACGGGUGAGUAACGCGUGAGCAAUCUGUCCCUCACAGGGGGAUAACACUUGGAAACAGGUGCUAAUACCGCAUAAGACCACGGAGUCGCAUGACUUUGGGGUCAAAGGAGCAAUCCGGUGAGGGGUGAGCUCGCGUCCCAUUAGAUAGUUGGCGGGGUAACGGCCCACCAAGUCAGCGAUGGGUAGCCGACCUGAGAGGGUGAUCGGCCACACUGGGACUGAGACACGGCCCAGACUCCUACGGGAGGCAGCAGUAGGGAAUCUUCGGCAAUGGGGGCAACCCUGACCGAGCAACGCCGCGUGAGUGAAGAAGGUUUUCGGAUCGUAAAGCUCUGUUGUAAGUCAAGAACGAGUGUGAGAGUGGAAAGUUCACACUGUGACGGUAGCUUACCAGAAAGGGACGGCUAACUACGUGCCAGCAGCCGCGGUAAUACGUAGGUCCCGAGCGUUGUCCGGAUUUAUUGGGCGUAAAGCGAGCGCAGGCGGUUUGAUAAGUCUGAAGUUAAAGGCUGUGGCUCAACCAUAGUUCGCUUUGGAAACUGUCAAACUUGAGUGCAGAAGGGGAGAGUGGAAUUCCAUGUGUAGCGGUGAAAUGCGUAGAUAUAUGGAGGAACACCGGUGGCGAAAGCGGCUCUCUGGUCUGUAACUGACGCUGAGGCUCGAAAGCGUGGGGAGCGAACAGGAUUAGAUACCCUGGUAGUCCACGCCGUAAACGAUGAGUGCUAGGUGUUGGAUCCUUUCCGGGAUUCAGUGCCGCAGCUAACGCAUUAAGCACUCCGCCUGGGGAGUACGACCGCAAGGUUGAAACUCAAAGGAAUUGACGGGGGCCCGCAC
rnacentral:rRNA from 1 species